CCUCUGAAGGUUACAACAAAUCAGCCUCUGAUCCAAUUAAAAUCCCUCCAGUUCAUGUUUCCUCCAAGAAGGACAAAGCACAGAUGACCCACGAGCUUGCUGGAAACACAACCAGUCGGGUGUGGUGCUGGCUGAUAGAUGAAGAGUUAAAAAAGAUUAAAAAUUUAAGUCAUGACUGCCACGAAAUUGUUUAUUCAUGGUACAGUGUUUUGGGCAGUUACAGCUGUACAACAGUAAAUUGUUAACAACCAUUUCCUGAAGAAAAAUUUCCAUUAUAGAUCACAGAGAAGACAAGGAGCAGAGCGCAGCGGGCAGGGAGAUGGGGUUCCGCCGGCAGAGGAUGUGUCAGCUACGAGUCAAGAGGGCCCAUCCUUCCCUGAAAUCACGGGAAACUGAACUGUGAGGACGAUGACAUUUACCCUAAUUGCUGCAUCUAAUUAAAAUUAAGACCAGGACUUAACAAUGCGGAACAUCUGCGCCCUGCCUCUCCCGAGCAUGCCUACGUGGGACGUGCUGCUCAAGUCAGUCUUCUCCCCAGCGGGAACCGGCUGGUGAAUCAGCAAAAUGAUGAGGUGUGCCUCAGGGUCUCUGUCGGAGAUGUGGUGAAGCCCACAGGGAAGGCUCCAGAGCAGGAAGGAACGCUGGACGGGACAUCAGCACCUAGAGUGCCAGCCUUGCCUCCACAGUUGGCCGUCCAGCAUCUGGCCUCAGACUUGUCACUACAGAAACAGAUAGGGCACUAGGCUAAAUUACUGCUAAGGUCUAAGGGAUUUUGGAAGCUUCCAUUCUAUAGAUGACUUGAAAGUGAAGUCACACCUCAAAUGCCAAUUGCUGAAUCUUUGUCCUGGAAAGGAUCCCUCAUAUGGCAGGUAAUGGCUUCAGAAUAAUUAUUUACCUCCUCUCCAAAAUCUGUAUGUGGAAACCCAAUGUGUGACAGUGUUUGGAGGUGGGGCCUUUGGAGGUGAUCAGGUUGCGAGGGCAGAGACCUCAGGGAUGAGAUAGAUUAGUGCUCUCAUAAAAAAGCCGGCACGUUCCCUUGCUCCUUUCCCCACAGGAGGACACAGUAGGCUGUCUAUGAACCAGGAAAUGUGCCCUCACCAGACACCAAAGCUGCCAAUGCCUGGAUUUUGCACUUCCCAGAAUCCAAAACCAUGAGAAACCAAUUCCCACUACUUCUCAGCCACCCAGUUCAUGGUAUUUGGUGAUACAGCCCAAGCUGACCAAGACAAUGCCCACUGUACAACACUGCUUGAGCAUCCAGCGCAGCUCACGGUGCCUGGAAUGUCAAGGCAUCAAAGCCUGUCCACAGAAUGAAUCCAGGAGACCUUCCAUGGAGCUCACUGACACAAGCUAACCCCCCACAGCAACCCCUGGUGAACACAGUCCUCAACCUGGGGACCAGCAGAGCAAUUAUUAACACUGUCUAACAUUACAUGGAAGCAUCAGAAAUGUCUUAAGAUUGCCCUUCAAGAAGUCGGCAUUAAAAUUAUUCACUGAUUUAUUUCUAUGAGAAUUAUCAAGCAAGAAAGAACCUAGUCAGACAUGCUCUCAGGAGAGAGAUUACCAGCAGGAUGAAAAUAACGUGAAGCAGCAGCGGAUUUCCCAUGAAUAUCACUCAAGCAGACUAACUACAUUUGUCUCUUACCUCUGGAAAUCUAGAGUCAAACAGAACAACUAUUAAGAGGAAAUUUUGGUUUAAUGAACAUAGCCUUGUCCACAGGCACAUCAAAAAUCUUUUACAUUAAAGCUAUUGCACACUUGAUGGCAAAGACAAAGUAUGAAAUGGUUUUGGAAGUCAUGACUCAAAUUCACUUAUAAGGAACAUUUACCAAGUGCCUAAUGAGCAACAGGAACCUGCUUGGCACUCUGACAGCUUCUCUGAUCCUCUCACUAACACUGAGAGCCAACUAUCUGUGCAGGUGAGGGGAGGCACCGCGCUUUACCUAAGAAGGGAUGCUGGGAGUCAGACCUAGCUUGUCUGCUUAGGUCUAAUGCACUUCCAACCAAUAGGAAAUGCUCUUUAUUCCUCUUUAAGGAACUGGAAUAUAGCAGUGGACAAAACAGACAAGCUUCCCUGUCCUCAGGCCAUCCCAGUGUGCUUUCCACCACGGUUCACUGCCUCCCCUGGUCAGAUCCACUGGGCCAUCUGCUAGUGGAAUGAUGUCUAGAUCAACACAUUCAAAUCUGUCUGGCCUUGCCUCAAUAAGGGCUUCCAAAAUCAGUUCCUGAAAAUUAAUGCUGCUAAUGUCUGAACAGAUACAUCAUUAUGAAUUCUAGUACUAAUAAAAGCAAAUAGGACAAUUAAGGAUUUGCCCAAGGUUUGUUAACAGAUAAAAACUGGAUUUUCAAAUGAGUAAAGAGCAGCGUGUGUUUCAAGAUGGAAGAUAAUUAGAAUGGAAAUAGAACACCAGACGUGACAGCACACAUCAGCAGAGACAGACAGGGGAGGAGCGUAAACAGCCCCCUCCCCGAGUCAGCCUUCUACUGAGGAUAGAUCUGAAAGGAUAUC